UAGAUGGCGCGCACGACAAUGCAAAUGGCCUCACUCCCUUUCCUUUGUGAAUGUAGUUUCAUGAACGGAGAACUCCUCGUAACCUCCAGGAGAGCGUUAGCGAGAGCUCGAAACGAGGCAGAACUGAGCACCUGCGAUCUGUCUGAUGGAGCCUUCUCAUUCAGAUAUGCCACGCCCUGGAGGAAAGAAGUCCUACGUGUGUGAUGUGUGUGAAUAUAAGUGUUCUACGUCUGAUAUUCUUAAGACACACAUGUACACUCACACGGGUGAAAAGCCAUAUGCGUCCGAUAUAUGUG